UACGGGGGGGGCAAGCGUUGUUCGGAUUUACUGGGCGUAAAGCGCGCGUAGGCGGUUUUGCAAGCCAGAGGUGAAAUGCCUGAGCUCAACUUAGGAAUUGCCUUUGGGACUGCGAGGCUUUGAGGACUGGAGAGGUGAGUGGAAUUCCCAGUGUAGAGGUGAAAUUCGUAGAUAUUGGGAAGAACACCGGUGGCGAAGGCGGCUCACUGGCUCAUUUCUGACGCUCAGGCGCGACAGCGUGGGGAUCAAACAGG
rnacentral:rRNA from 1 species